rnacentral:rRNA from 1 species
UACGGAGGAUGCGAGCGUUAUCCGGAUUUAUUGGGUUUAAAGGGUGCGUAGGCGGGCUUUUAAGUCAGUGGUAAAAAUUCGGGGCUCAACCCCGUCCGGCCGUUGAAACUGGGGGCCUUGAGUGGGCGAGAAGAAGGCGGAAUGCGUGGUGUAGCGGUGAAAUGCAUAGAUAUCACGCAGAACCCCGAUUGCGAAGGCAGCCUUCCGGCGCCCUACUGACGCUGAGGCACGAAAGUGCGGGGAUCGAACAGG